ACCCUGUCUUGGAAAAAAGGGAAAGAAGGAAGGAAGGAAGGAGGGAGGGAACACCAUAUAUUUAUUGGCAAAGCUGUCUCCUUUUAUUUGGUGUCUAUUUCUUAUUUGCCCAAAUAACAUUC
rnacentral:snoRNA from 1 species